AGGCGGGAAGCUCUGCAACGCGCUGUGAGGCGGCGUAGGCGGGGCGGAGCACGCCUCCAGGUCCCUCAGCACCUCAGCUCUUCAGUUCUCCGCAACCGCCGAGUCCGCGCGCCUCUUGUGGGCUGACAGAGUAUACUUCAUCCCGACCCUCCCAGGAGGCAGAGCCAAAGAUCGGACCUCAGAUCCAGAAACCUAUUCAACCCCCUCGACCCAGGAAGCCAGAAGCAGGGUUACGGCGAGACUGGGGCGACGUGCUCUUCUCUCCUUAGGAACUGCUACUUUUCUGUCUCCCAACGGCAGUCGUCGCGUUGGGAGAGCUGCUCAACCGAUUCUUUAAAUUUACCCCCUGCGGGGCGUGGCUGACGUCCUUUAGCCGCGCGGCGGUGGAGAGUUGGCCUUGACUGGGAGUGACUCUCGUUUGGUGCCUUAGGAGAGCAAGAGUGUGAGGGCCGAACUUCCUUUGGAGGAGAUGCCUUUAAAUAGUCAUCCAUAGCAGCGAUAGAAACAGCUUUGUGUUGCUUUGUUUUGUUUAUACCGAGUGGUUUUUCGGUGAAAUGCUGUUUUGGUUAAAAGAAGAAAUGGCCCCUCAGGAGUUCACACGGCGACUGGCCACAGUGAUCACUCAUGUCGAUGAAAUUAUGCAGCAGGAAAUCAGGCCCUUGGUGGCAGUGGAUAUAAUUGAACAACUUCACAGACAAUUUGCCAUUCUUUCAGGAGGCCGAGGGAAAGAUGGUGCCCCCAUCAUCACUUUCCCAGAGUUUGUGGGGUUCAAGCACAUCCCAGAUGAAGACUUCCUGAAUGUCAUGACCUACCUAACUAGUGUCCCCAGCAUGGAGGCUGCCAGCAUCGGGUUCAUCAUUGUCAUCGACAGACGGAGGGACAAGUGGAGCUCCAUAAAAGCAUCCUUGACACGAAUAGCUGUAGCAUUUCCAGGAAACUUGAAGCUCAUAUUCAUUCUUCGUCCAUCUCGCUUUAUCCAGAGAACAUUCACUGACAUUGGCAUUAAGUACUAUAGAGAUGAAUUUAAAAUGAAAGUGCCGAUUGUUAUGUUAAACUCCAUUUCUGACCUUCAUGACUACAUUGACAAAAGCCAAUUGACAGAGGACUUAGGGGGAACUUUGGAAUAUCACCACAGUCAGUGGAUAAAUCAUCGAACCGCCAUUGAAAGUUUUGCUCUGGCAUUGAAGACCACUGCCCAGAUGCUUCAGACUUUUGGGGCCUGCCUGGCUACAACAGAGCUGCCCAGAAGCAUCCCUUCCACUGAAGACCUUCUCAUGUCCCACAUGAGGCAGCAGAACAAGUUGCAGGAUGAGCUGAAAUUACUUGGAAAGCAAGGGGCCACAUUGCUGUCAUGCAUGCAAGAACCAGCAACCAAAAGUCCCACCAGCAAACUCAGUCUCAAUGAAGUUGAGAAUGUAGCUACUGUGGAAAGGUUAUUAGUUCAGUUGGAUGAAACAGAAAAAGCCUUUAGUCAGUUCUGGUCUGAGCAUCACCUGAAGCUUAAUCAAUACCUACAACUACAGCACUUUGAACACAAUUUUUGUGAGGUUAAGCUAGCCCUGAACAACUUGUUGGCAGAGCAAGAAGAGUUUUCAGACAUCGGAGACAAUGUGGUGCAUGUGGAACAACUUCUUAAGGAACACAAAAAACUGGAAGGAGAAGGCCAGGAGUUCUUGGAAAAGGCCCAGCUGCUUGCAGUAAUUGGGGACCAGCUUAUCCAAAGCCACCAUUAUGCAGUGGACUCCAUCAGACCCAGGUGUGCGGAGCUCAGGCACCUUUGUGAUGACUUCAUCAAUGAAAACAAAAAGAAACAUGACAUAUUAGAAAAGUCCUUAGAGUUGCACAGAAGGUUGGACAAGGUCAGCCAGUGGUGUGAAGCAGGAAUCUACCUCUUGGCUUCCCAAGCUGUAGACAAGUGCCAGUCCCGAGAGGGUGUUGACAUUGCUUUGAAUGACAUUGAGACAUUCCUGGGCACAGCGAAGGAGUACCAGUUGCCCAGUUCCAAGGACUUUUACAACCAGUAUGAGCUGAUGCUCACUCUUGAUAUAAAGGCUAAAGCCCAGAAAGUUCUGCAGAAGCUGAGUGAUGUGCAGGAAAUAUUUCACAAGAGACAAAUGAGUCUGAUGAAACUGGCAGCCAGACAGACUCGCCCAGUGCAACCUGUGGCCCCCCAUCCUGAGUCCUCCCCAAAAUGGGUGUCACCAAAAAUCAGCCAGCCCUCCACCUUGGUUCCUCGUCACAAAACAUCUGAGGAACCUUAUGUGGAGACAGAUUUAAACUCAGAGGAAAAGGAAGAUAAUGAGACUAAAUCUGAAGUCAAGAAUGCAGAAAUACUUGAAAGCAGUCAUGAUGCGGAGAACCCUGAGCCAGAGCAGCCUGACAGUUCCAAAAAUCUUUCUCCCAGCAGGCAUAUUAUACGUGACUUGCUUGAGACUGAAGAGACUUAUAUAAAAGAGAUUAAGAACAUAAUUGAUGGAUAUAUCAUUCCAAUGGAUUUUAUUUGGCUGAAGCAUCUAAUUCCAGAUGUUCUGCGGAAUAACAAGGAGUUUCUCUUUGGGAACAUUAGAGAAAUUUACGAAUUUCACAACAGGACUUUUCUAAAAGAAUUGGAAAAAUGCACUGAAAACCCUGAACUUCUGGCACGUUGCUUUCUCAAGAGAAAAGAAGAUCUUCAAAUAUAUUUUAAAUACCAUAAGAACCUGCCCCGAGCCAGGGCAAUCUGGCAAGAAUGUCAAGACUGCACCUACUUUGGGGUAUGCCAGCGUCAACUGGGUCACAAUCUCCCUCUUUUUACGUGUCUGAGAGAACCAAGUCAGAGACUUGUAAAGUACCAGAUGCUGUUGAAGGGGCUGCUGGAUUUUGAGUCUCCUGAGGAUUUGGAGAUGGACCCAAGUGAUCUAGAAGGAGGUUCGGCUAAGAAUGAGCCAAAGAGGACCAAGGAUUCAGCCUUCUUAGCUGACCUACAACAGGCUUUGGCCAUGAUGGAGGAUUUGAUCAAGUCCUGUGAAUUGGCCAUGGACCUGGCAGCAGUCACUGGAUGUCCGGAUGAUAUUGGAAAACUCGGCAAGUUGUUGAUGCAUGAUUCUUUCAACGUUUGGACAGUUCACAAAGAUCGUUAUAAGAUGAAGGAUUUAAUUCGAUUCAAGCCCAGCCAGAGGCAAAUCUAUCUGUUUGAACAGGGAAUAGUGUUCUGUAAGAUACAGAUGGAGCCCAGUGACCAGGGCCUGUGCCCUCACUACAGCUUUAAGAAGUCUGUGAAGUUGAUGACACUUUCAAUUCGCCAACUUGGAAGGGGGAGCAACAGAAAGUUUGAAAUUGCCAACCAAAAUGGACUUGAAAAAUACAUCCUACAGGCAGCUUCAAAAGAAAUCAGAGAUUGUUGGUUUUCAGAAAUAAGUAAAUUAUUGAUGAAACAGCAAAACAAUAUUAAAGAUGUUUAUGAAGAUGAAGACAAUGGCAGACAAAUAUCCCCAAAACCCCGCCAUCACCCCAGGCUGGCUGCCCAUGUUCUAUGGCUGAUGAGGCUUCAGGGCCCAGCCCCAUCCCCAGCAGGUACCUCUGGGGUCAUUCUGGGGUCCCUGGCACCUGGCAUUGUCUGGGUCACUCACACCUCGGCCUCUGGAGACACAGCUCUUUGGGUCACAGAGGGGUGGUCAAGAACAUGGCUGCUCUGUUCCUCCCUAAUAACCUUCCAGCAAGACCACCAUCCCUCUGUCCUCACUGUCUGCCCCUGGUCUAAGGCACCCAGGCUGGAUGAUCACUCUAAAGAAGCAUCUCUGGGGAUUCCUGUGAAUGACCCGAAGUCACAUCAGGAGGAGGGCAGUGGGAGGCACCUCCCAGGGCCAGGCUCUCCUCUGCUCUCCCCACCGCCUCCCAGGAGCCAGAAUUAAACCAGGCUGUGCCCUUGCAUCGGGUUUCUGGAGGCUGCCCUGCUGCUCCCCAUGUUGCUUGCACAGCCCCCACUGCCCUCCUCUGGGGAUGACCCCAGGCCCCAGAACACAGUUAGGGGGGCCUCCAGACAGUAGGUUGGGAGCUCCCACUUGCUGGCUGCUUGCUCCCAGAGAUACUGUGCCCCACCCCACCCCACUCCAACUGCAGGCUCCUUCCACUCCCUCUCCUCUGCCAGUCCUCUGCCCAGAAGGCCCUCCUCCAUGGGCCUUGCCCCAAUGCCCUCCCCCUGAAUUCUAACCUGAACUAAAAUCUCUCUCCUGUACACAGAUUCCUGAGGGAUCUGGAACUCAACUGAUGCUCAACCCGGGGCUCUGUCGGGUGGGCUCAUUCUGCAGAUGCUCACCUACCUAAGCUGACUUGGCAGCACUGUGGGGACAGGGAUCAUGUCUUUUAGAGCAUAGGGUAAAGAGUAGGAAUGUGUAGGGAAAUCCCUGGCAGUCCAGUUGUUGGGACUCUGAGCUCUCACUGCCCAGGGCCUUGGUUCAGUCCCUGUUUGGGGACGUAAGAUUUCACAAGCCAAGCUGUGUGAUUAAAAAAAAUAUAUAUAUGUAGAUUCCAGCUGCAGUGUUUACAACGCUUCCCUGAUAUCUCAAUUGGUAAGUUGCAAUGCAGGAGACGGGGUUCGAUCCCUGGGUUGGGAAGAUCCCCUGGAGAAGGGAAAGGCUACUCACUUCAGUAUUCUGGCCUGGAGAAUUCUAUGGACUGUAUACUCCAUGGGAUGGUAAAGAGUUGGAUGUGACUUUCACUCACUUUCAUGCAGUGUUUACAGGCCAAGGGAAUUUACUCAACCUCGUGACUAAUCUCUCUCGUCUCAGUUUCUCAUCUGUAAAAUGGGGCUAAGGUCCAUACAGUUGUGUGAGGCUUCACUUCUGGUAAAUGCCUGACAUCCCAGCAGACACAGCAGGCUCAGUGUUUGGUGGGAGUGGCUGUUCCCCACAGUGUCUUUAACAGGCCUGGCAGGACCGGUGCAGUGGUGCUGCUAACUGGUAAAUGAAUCUCACUGGAGAGAGAGGCAGGAUGUUCUUACUGUCCCUCUCAUUUUCCCUCCGGGAGAGCAGUGACAUUUCGCAGAGGCUGCCAAGGAGAUGGGAAACAAGCAGUUAUCAGCGGAGAGAAGGAGGUCAGGAAGACAGGAGGGCGGGAAGGAGCGGUGGCAAGAGGGUCCUCAAGACAAAAAGACAAUGAGUUUUCUUGGAGGACAGGGAGUUGUGAGUGCCAAGUGGACACCUCUUCUCAGUCACAGUUACAGAAUUUUGAGCUGGAACAGGUACCCCUCCUCCUGGUCCAGGGGAAGCAGUCCUAUCCUGGGAGAGGAGGGAGAGAUGGGGAGAAUGGGUUUCUGGGGACCUGUGCUGCCCAUUCCAUCCUGCCCUUGGGCUGCGGGGGCUUGGGGGGAGGGGACGGGAUGGGGGAGUGGGUUGGGGUGGGGGGGAAUGUCCUCCCACACCCUCCCCCACAGCAGGCCAGAUUCUUCCCUUUCCCUCCCUAAGGUUGCUCAAGCAGGGAGUUUAUCUCCAUGGAAACCUCUGUCAAUUGUGAAGGUGCAGAAGAUUUGGAAAAGGAGAACAGUGCCUUGAGUCUCUCGGGACUUUUUCGGUUGGACGACAGUUACGACGAGACCUCCAAGUCUGGUCAGC